CCUACGGGAGGCAGCAGUGGGGAAUAUUGCACAAUGGGGGAAACCCUGAUGCAGCGACGCCGCGUGAGCGAUGAAGUAUUUCGGUAUGUAAAGCUCUAUCAGCAGGGAAGAAAAUGACGGUACCUGACUAAGAAGCCCCGGCUAACUACGUGCCAGCAGCCGCGGUAAUACGUAGGGGGCAAGCGUUAUCCGGAUUUACUGGGUGUAAAGGGUGCGUAGGCGGCAUAAUAAGUUAGAAGUGAAAUACCCAGAGCUUAACUCGGGUGCUGCUUCUAAGACUGUUGAGCUGGAGUGCGGGAGAGGUUAAUGGAAUUCCUAGUGUAGCGGUGGAAUGCGUAGAUAUUAGGAGGAACACCAGAGGCGAAGGCGAUUAACUGGACCGUAACUGACGCUGAGGCACGAAAGUGUGGGUAGCAAACAGGAUUAGAUACCCCAGUAGUC
rnacentral:rRNA from 1 species